CCCCCCCAUAGGUUUUCGAAUAUUGGAAAUUCUCAUUCGAAUAUCAACAUUUGAAAAGAAAGACACGGCAAGAGUAUAAAAUAAGAAACAUGGGCUAGUUGAAACUCAUUUGCAAAUGAACACCAAAACAAUUUACCUCUGGGAUGAACUAUGUGGCCAAUGAGAGGUUUAUGUACUUAAAGUUUAUGCUACAGUCAAGAGGGAAAAUUGUAAAGAAAAUGUGGUUUGUCUGGAACAGCCUGAAAAGGUCAGUGCACUUUUAAAGACAUAAAGUGGUUGAAACCGAUAUUUUUUCGAAAGAUACGGUUUUCCUGCGAGUCUAUAGCUUGGGACUAUCUUUUAACGUCGUCUAGAGAACUGAAAAAGAUAGAAGUCGAAACAUUUUUUUCCGCGCUUCGUGUUUCAUGAGUAAAAAUCGCUGACAGUGCCUUUGUCGUUUCCGAGGUCGUUUCAUGUGAGACCAGGUCAAAACCAGGUAAAAAAUCAUGUUUUAACAAAAAAGCCGGUUUUCUUUUUAAUCAGAAUCGAUUUUCCAUAACUUUAUUAAUAACUGUGCAAAAUUUCAGGCAAAGUUUUUCACCUAGGGCUAGGUACAAGUCGAAACAUUUUUUCCCGCGCUUCCUGCAAAAUAAAUUAAUGGCGAACAUAGUCGUUUCACGUAAGAAAAAAGUAAAAGAGAACUUUAAUGCAAUGUAUUUAAAUGAAAAGACACUUCUAAUUGGAUUUAUACUAACUCUUGACCAAAGGGCCUUCGCUCGAAACGUCGAGUUUCUGCUUAUUUUCAAGGUAGUAAUAUAACCACUCGGCACAGUAUUUUCACAUUGGUAAAAAGCCUACAAAUCACGGUCAAACUAAAAGUCAAUGUCAACAUUGCAACACAAUUUUUCAGUAAAUUAAAUUCUUAAAAACUUUAGGUGAACAUAAUUGUUUUAAGAAUUUUUAACCCUGUCAGCAUAAUUUAUUUAUAUUACCAACAUUUUUCUAUAAAUCAUACUAAAACUGUCUGUACCAGUGUGGGUAGUACUGUAGUAUGUUUUAGCUCUCACGCGCUGUCGAGAAAAUUAUGUUAAUGCCAAAAUUUAAGCAUAGCAAAAAAAGCCGGUAAACGCCGGUCUUGGUAUAUAUUGUGUACUAAAGCCAGAGAAAUUCCACACAUUUUUAAGCUAUCAAAUUUAUCUAGGCCUACCUAGUGUUCAGACAGCAUUGAUUUUAAUCUCUGUUGUCGUGCGUAAAGUAAUAAAAUUUGAUGCCCCUCACAUUAAAAUAAUUGAAAAACUAAAUUAUUUUCUCAAAUACGUUGGAUGCUUCUUUCAUAAAAAGUUUCUUAAUAGCAUAAGAUAGUUUUAAAAAUUAAUAAAAGAAAUCUCACAUUAAAAAAGGUCUAAUCAUGCAUCAUAUGGACAAAGUCGCACAACAAUCCAAUCUUUUUUCCGCCAUGAUUUCGCUUUUCUUUUUGCUUUUCUCUCAAAACGCGAGCUAGUGCCAGUUCUCUGGUGCAUCACUCAC